UGGGGAAUUUUGCACAAUGGGGGAAACCCUGAUGCAGCGACGCCGCGUGAUUUAGAAGGCCUUCGGGUUGUAAAAAUCUUUUCUAUGGGAAGAAAAUGACAGUACCAUAGGAAUAAGGACCGGCUAAUUACGUGCCAGCAGCCGCGGUAAUACGUAAGGUCCGAGCGUUGUCCGGAAUCAUUGGGCGUAAAGGGUACGUAGGCGGGUAAGCAAGUUAGAAGUGAAAUCCUAUAGCUCAACUAUAGUAAGCUUUUAAAACUGCUCAUCUUGAGGUAUGGAAGGGAAAGUGGAAUUCCUAGUGUAGCGGUGAAAUGCGCAGAUAUUAGGAGGCAUACCGGUGGCGAAGGCGACUUUCUGGCCAUAUCCUGACGCUGAGGUACGAAAGCGUGGGUAGCAAACAGG
rnacentral:rRNA from 1 species